AGAUACCCUGGUAGUCCAUGCCGUAAACGUUGGGCACUAGGUGUGGGGACCAUUCCACGGUUUCCGCGCCGCAGCUAACGCAUUAAGUGCCCCGCCUGGGGAGUACGGCCGCAAGGCUAAAACUCAAAGGAAUUGACGGGGGCCCGCACAAGCGGCGGAGCAUGCGGAUUAAUUCGAUGCAACGCGAAGAACCUUACCAAGGCUUGACAUGUUCUCGAUCGCCGUAGAGAUACGGUUUCCCCUUUGGGGCGGGUUCACAGGUGGUGCAUGGUUGUCGUCAGCUCGUGUCGUGAGAUGUUGGGUUAAGUCCCGCAACGAGCGCAACCCUCGUUCCAUGUUGCCAGCACGUCGUGGUGGGGACUCAUGGGAGACUGCCGGGGUCAACUCGGAGGAAGGUGAGGACGACGUCAAAUCAUCAUGCCCCUUAUGUCUUGGGCUUCACGCAUGCUACAAUGGCCGGUACAAUGGGUUGCGAUACUGUGAGGUGGAGCUAAUCCCAAAAAGCCGGUCUCAGUUCGGAUUGGGGUCUGCAACUCGACCCCAUGAAGUCGGAGUCGCUAGUAAUCGCAGAUCAGCAACGCUGCGGUGAAUACGUUCCCGGGCCUUG
rnacentral:rRNA from 1 species